GAAGCGUCUGGAAAGGCGCGCGAUACAGGGUGACAGCCCCGUACACAAAAAUGCACAUACUGUGAGCUCGAUGAGUAGGGCGGGACACGUGGUAUCCUGUCUGAAUAUGGGGGGACCAUCCUCCAAGGCUAAAUACUCCUGACUGACCGAUAGUGAACCAGUACCGUGAGGGAAAGGCGAAAAGAACCCCGGCGAGGGGAGUGAAAAAGAACCUGAAACCGUGUACGUACAAGCAGUGGGAGCCUCUUUUAUGGGGUGACUGCGUACCUUUUGUAUAAUGGGUCAGCGACUUAUAUUCUGUAGCAAGGUUAACCGAAUAGGGGAGCCGAAGGGAAACCGAGUCUUAACUGGGCGUUAAGUUGCAGGGUAUAGACCCGAAACCCGGUGAUCUAGCCAUGGGCAGGUUGAAGGUUGGGUAACACUAACUGGAGGACCGAACCGACUAAUGUUGAAAAAUUAGCGGAUGACUUGUGGCUGGGGGUGAAAGGCCAAUCAAACCGGGAGAUAGCUGGUUCUCCCCGAAAGCUAUUUAGGUAGCGCCUCGUGAAUUCAUCUCCGGGGGUAGAGCACUGUUUCGGCAAGGGGGUCAUCCCGACUUACCAACCCGAUGCAAACUGCGAAUACCGGAGAAUGUUAUCACGGGAGACACACGGCGGGUGCUAACGUCCGUCGUGAAGAGGGAAACAACCCAGACCGCCAGCUAAGGUCCCAAAGUCAUGGUUAAGUGGGAAACGAUGUGGGAAGGCCCAGACAGCCAGGAUGUUGGCUUAGAAGCAGCCAUCAUUUAAAGAAAGCGUAAUAGCUCACUGGUCGAGUCGGCCUGCGCGGAAGAUGUAACGGGGCUAAACCAUGCAC
rnacentral:rRNA from 1 species